UGGGGAAUAUUGCACAAUGGGCGCAAGCCUGAUGCAGCCAUGCCGCGUGUGUGAAGAAGGCCUUCGGGUUGUAAAGCACUUUCAGCGGGGAGGAAGGCGUUAAGGUUAAUAACCUUGGCGAUUGACGUUACCCGCAGAAGAAGCACCGGCUAACUCCGUGCCAGCAGCCGCGGUAAUACGGAGGGUGCAAGCGUUAAUCGGAAUUACUGGGCGUAAAGCGCACGCAGGCGGUCUGUCAAGUCGGAUGUGAAAUCCCCGGGCUCAACCUGGGAAAUGCAUUCGAAACUGGCAGGGUAGAGUCUUGUAGAGGGGGGUAGAAUUCCAGGUGUAGCGGUGGAAUGCGUAGAGAUCUGGAGGAAUACCGGUGGCGAAGGCGGCCCCCUGGACAAAGACUGACGCUCAGGUGCGAAAGCGUGGGGAGCAAACAGG
rnacentral:rRNA from 1 species